UGGGGAAUCUUGGACAAUGGGCGAAAGCCUGAUCCAGCGACGCCGCGUGGGUGAUGAAGGCCUUCGGGUUGUAAAGCCCUUUCGACGGGGACGAUGAUGACGGUACCCGGCGAAGAAGCACCGGCUAACUCCGUGCCAGCAGCCGCGGUAAUACGGAGGGGGCUAGCGUUGUUCGGAAUUACUGGGCGUAAAGCGCACGUAGGCGGCUUUGCAAGUUAGAGGUGAAAGCCCGGGGCUCAACUCCGGAAUUGCCUUUAAAAACUGCAUCGCUAGAAUUGUGGAGAGGUAAAGUGGAAUUCCGAGUGUAGAGGUGAAAUUCGUAGAUAUUCGGAAGAACACCAGUGGCGAAGGCGACUUACUGGACACAUAUUUGACGCUGAGGUGCGAAAGCGUGGGGAGCAAACA
rnacentral:rRNA from 1 species